rnacentral:sRNA from 1 species
ACUUCCAAGGCGUGUCCAGAGCAUUCUGCUCCCAUAAAAGUUCAUCAUAAUCAAACGGGUAAGAAGUACCAAUGGGAUGCAGAAACUCAAGGAUGGAUUCUCGGUUCCUUUUUUUAUGGCUACAUCAUCACACAGAUUCCUGGAGGAUAUGUUGCCAGCAAAAUAGGGGGGAAAAUGCUGCUAGGAUUUGGGAUCCUUGGCACUGCUGUCCUCACCCUGUUCACUCCCAUUGCUGCAGAUUUAGGAGUUGGACCACUCAUUGUACUCAGAGCACUAGAAGGACUAGGAGAGGGUGUUACAUUUCCAGCCAUGCAUGCCAUGUGGUCUUCUUGGGCUCCCCCUCUUGAAAGAAGCAAACUUCUUAGCAUUUCAUAUGCAGGAGCACAGCUUGGGACAGUAAUUUCUCUUCCUCUUUCUGGAAUAAUUUGCUACUAUAUGAAUUGGACUUAUGUCUUCUACUUUUUUGGUACUAUUGGAAUAUUUUGGUUUCUUUUGUGGAUCUGGUUAGUUAGUGACACACCACAAAAACACAAGAGAAUUUCCCAUUAUGAAAAGGAAUACAUUCUUUCAUCAUUAAGAAAUCAGGUAUGGACUUUGACACAUUUUAAAAUUAAUGUCAGAAACUUUUUUUCUUCAGAAUUAAGAUAUCAAUUUUUAAAAAUAGAUAUUCCUAUUGUGCAUGCUCUAGACAAAGUAGAAUAGGCAAAUGAAAUAAACAUCCAAAGUAUUGUCUG